CACCCUCAUCAUCCUCAUCGUCAUAAAGUAAUGGCACAUUAGAAAAAGGAUAAUUAAUUGUUUUUUACACUCCAGGUGGCGUUUUACAUAAACAUUACUCAAUGGACUACGAAGGAGACGUUACAAUUAAUAACAAAUCUCAAGACAGACAGUGAAUAUUUAAAUUGGACCUCAUUGCGCUGGACUCCGGCCUAAUGGGCGUUCCAGAUGCUCAUUACGUGAUGUAGACAAAGAAGCCACAACUAUCAGGAGAGAAUAUCCGGACGCAAUCGUGAAAGGGCAACAUAACUUACCAAUUAUUCAUAGAUAGCCAAAAAUUGUGUCACUGCAUCAAGCUUCCUGCCAGCUGGGCUUUCCGGGCAAGAAAUUCUGGAUAUAAAAUUCUGGACAUGAAAUUAAUUAAAAUAUAGUGUAAAUUUAAUUUUUUAAAUGUUUCCUCUGCAAUAAUGUUAAAAAUAAAUAUUAGCAAUGUGUAGUAAUUAUUGUAGGCUUUAUGUUUAUUAAUAUUGUAUUAAUAAACUUAAUGUUUAUCUUAUUAAUAGAGAAAGUAAUCCGUUUGUUGUAAAGAAUAUACGGUAGGCAUGUAGAAUAAUAAGAUAUAACAUUUUGAGAAUUAAAAUCAGAUUUAUUGAUUUUUGCCGGAUGUACAUAAUAUAGGCCUACAGUAUAUAAGUAUAAAAUGUAUGUAUAUUAUAUCACAAAUUAAUUUCAAUGCUUGA